rnacentral:rRNA from 1 species
UUUGAACGCUGGCGGCAUGCCUUACACAUGCAAGUCGAACGGCAGCGGGGGAGAAGCUUGCUUUUCCUGCCGGCGAGUGGCGAACGGGUGAGUAAUACAUCGGAACGUGCCCUGUAGUGGGGGAUAACUAGUCGAAAGAUUAGCUAAUACCGCAUACGACCUGAGGGUGAAAGUGGGGGACCGCAAGGCCUCAUGCUAUAGGAGCGGCCGAUGUCUGAUUAGCUAGUUGGUGGGGUAAAGGCCUACCAAGGCGACGAUCAGUAGCUGGUCUGUAGGGAGGAUCAGCCACACUGGGACGGAGACACGGCCCAGACUCCUACGGGAGGCAGCAGUGGGGGAUUUUGGACAAUGGGCGAAAGCCUGAUCCAGCAAUGCCGCAUGUGUGAAGGAGGCCUUCGGGUUGUAAAGCACUUUUGUCCGGAAAGAAAUGGCUCUGGUUAAUACCUGGGGUCGAUGACGGUACCGGAAGAAUAAGGACCGGCUAACUACGUGCCAGCCGCCGCCGUAA